GGGUUGUGAGGUUAAGCGACUAAGCGUACACGGUGGAUGCCUAGGCAGUCAGAGGCGAUGAAGGGCGUGCUAAUCUGCGAUAAGCGUCGGUAAGCUGAUAUGAAGCGUUAUACCCGACGAUACCCGAAUGGGGAAACCCAGUGUGUUUCGACACACUAUCAUUAUGUGAAUACAUAGCGUAAUGAGGCGAACCGGGGGAACUGAAACAUCUCAGUACCCCGAGGAAAAGAAAUCAACCGAGAUUCCCCUAGUAGCGGCGAGCGAACGGGGAGGAGCCCAGAACCUGAAUCAGUUUGUGUGUUAGUGGAAGCGUCUGGAAAGUCGCACAGUAAAGGGUGAUAGUCCCGUACACAAAAAUGCACAAGUUGUGAGUUCGAUGAGUAGGGCGGGACACGUGACAUCCUGUCUGAAUAUGGGGGGACCAUCCUCCAAGGCUAAAUACUCCUGACUGACCGAUAGUGAACCAGUACCGUGAGGGAAAGGCGAAAAGAACCCCGGCGAGGGGAGUGAAAUAGAACCUGAAACCGUGUACGUACAAGCAGUGGGAGCCUACUUGUUAGGUGACUGCGUACCUUUUGUAUAAUGGGUCAGCGACUUAUAUUCUGUAGCAAGGUUAACCGAAUAGGGGAGCCGCAGGGAAACCGAGUCUUAACUGGGCGUUAAGUUGCAGGGUAUAGACCCGAAACCCGGUGAUUCAGCCAUGGGCAGGUUGAAGGUUGGGUAACACUAACUGGAGGACCGAACCGACUAAUGUUGAAAAAUUAGCGGAUGACUUGUGGCUGGGGGUGAAAGGCCAAUCAAACCGGGAGAUAGCUGGUUCUCCCCGAAAGCUAUUUAGGUAGCGCCUCGUGAAUUCAUCUUCGGGGGUAGAGCACUGUUUCGGCUAGGGGGUCAUCCCGACUUACCAACCCGAUGCAAACUACGAAUACCGAAGAAUGUUAUCACGGGAGACACACGGCGGGUGCUAACGUUCGUCGUGAAGAGGGAAACAACCCAGACCGCCAGCUAAGGUCCCAAAGUCAUGGUUAAGUGGGAAACGAUGUGGGAAGGCAUAGACAGCCAGGAUGUUGGCUUAGAAGCAGCCAUCAUUUAAAGAAAGCGUAAUAGCUCACUGGUCGAGUCGGCCUGCGCGGAAGAUGUAACGGGGCUAAACCAUGCACCGAAGCUGCGGCAGCGACGCUUAGGCGUUGUUGGGUAGGGGAGCGUUCUGUAAGCCGUUGAAGGUGGCCUGUGAGGGUUGCUGGAGGUAUCAGAAGUGCGAAUGCUGACAUAAGUAACGAUAAUGCGGGUGAAAAACCCGCACGCCGGAAGACCAAGGGUUCCUGUCCAACGUUAAUCGGGGCAGGGUGAGUCGACCCCUAAGGCGAGGCUGAAAAGCGUAGUCGAUGGGAAACAGGUUAAUAUUCCUGUACUCGGUGUUACUGCGAAGGGGGGACGGAGAAAGCUAGGUUAUCCGGGCGACGGUUGUCCCGGUUUAAGCGUGAAGGUGGAUGACUUUGGUAAAUCCGGGUCAUCGUUAACACUGAGGCGUGAUGACGAGUCACUACGGUGAUGAAGUAACCGAUGCUACGCUUCCAGGAAAAGCCUCUAAGCUCCAGGUAACAUCAAAUCGUACCCCAAACCGACACAGGUGGUCAGGUAGAGAAUACUCAGGCGCUUGAGAGAACUCGGGUGAAGGAACUAGGCAAAAUGGUGCCGUAACUUCGGGAGAAGGCACGCUGAUGGUAGGUGAAGUGACUUGCUCAUGGAGCUGAAAUCAGUCGAAGAUACCAGCUGGCUGCAACUGUUUAAUAAAAACACAGCACUGUGCAAACACGAAAGUGGACGUAUACGGUGUGACGCCUGCCCGGUGCCGGAAGGUUAAUUGAUGGGGUCAGCCGCAAGGCGAAGCUCUUGAUCGAAGCCCCGGUAAACGGCGGCCGUAACUAUAACGGUCCUAAGGUAGCGAAAUUCCUUGUCGGGUAAGUUCCGACCUGCACGAAUGGCGUAAUGAUGGCCAGGCUGUCUCCACCCGAGACUCAGUGAAAUUGAACUCGCUGUGAAGAUGCAGUGUACCCGCGGCAAGACGGAAAGACCCCGUGAACCUUUACUAUAGCUUGACACUGAACCUUGAGCCUUGAUGUGUAGGAUAGGUGGGAGGCUUUGAAGCGUGGACGCCAGUCUGCGUGGAGCCAACCUUGAAAUACCACCCUUUAAUGUUUGAUGUUCUAACGUGGACCCGUAAUCCGGGUUGCGGACAGUGUCUGGUGGGUAGUUUGACUGGGGCGGUCUCCUCCCAAAGCGUAACGGAGGAGCACGAAGGUUAGCUAAUCCUGGUCGGACAUCAGGAGGUUAGUGCAAAGGCAUAAGCUAGCUUGACUGCGAGUGACAGCUCGAGCAGGUGCGAAAGCAGGUCUUAGUGAUCCGGUGGUUCUGAAUGGAAGGGCCAUCGCUCAACGGAUAAAAGGUACCCGGGGAUAACAGGCUGAUACCGCCCAAGAGUUCAUAUCGACGGCGGUGUUUGGCACCUCGAUGUCGGCUCAUCACAUCCUGGGGCUGAAGUAGGUCCCAAGGGUAUGGCUGUUCGCCAUUUAAAGUGGUACGCGAGCUGGGUUUAGAACGUCGUGAGACAGUUCGGUCCCUAUCUGCCGUGGGCGUUGGAAGAUUGAGAGGGGUUGCUCCUAGUACGAGAGGACCGGAGUGAACGCACCACUGGUGUACGGGUUGUGAUGCCAAUUGCAUUGCCCGGUAGCUAAGUGCGGAAGAGAUAACCGCUGAAAGCAUCUAAGCGGGAAACUUGCCUCGAGAUGAGUCUUCCCUGGGCACUUGAUGCCCCUGAAGGGCCGUUGAAGACGACGACGUAGAUAGGCUGGGUGUGUAAGCGUAGCGAUACGUUGAGCUGACCAGUACUAAUGACCCGAGAGGCUUAACCUUACAACACCGAAGGUGUUU
rnacentral:rRNA from 1 species